rnacentral:lncRNA from 1 species
GGCAAAGGUUCUUCACCCAGAGGGUGGCUGGGCACUGGAACAGGCUCCCCAGGGAAGUGGUCACAGCACCAAACCUGACAGAUUUCAAGAAGUGUUUAAACAAUAUUCUCAGUCAUAUCUUGUCAUUCUUGGAGUGUCCUGUGCAGGGCCCAAAGAUGGACUUGGUGAUCCUGUGGGUCCCUUCCAGCCCAGGUGAUUCUGUGAUCCAGCAUAGGAAAAAACCUGCAAUUUCUAAGUGCAAGAAAGCUGUAAUUAUAUGUAUGGAAUUGCAUGUAUUCAAGUGGCUGUUUUAGUAAAUAGUGAAAACCUCAACAUAAAGUGUGGCAGUGGUCCAGAAAGGUAUUCUACUAACAGUUAAAGAAAAGCCCCAGUGGAAAGAUGAAUGCAGCAUCACUCAUUGGACAGAGUAACAAGGUAUCACAAGAUUCACAUUUCAACUUGUCUAAACAAAAAAGGGCCCAAAAGUUCAGUAUGUCUGAAUCCCUUGUGCACUAAAUACUUCCUGUGGAUUCUGAAAUCUCUACAUAUUUUCGAGUUGUGGAUCUUCACUUUUGAAUUCAUAAAUCCAAUAUUCAUCAGUACCCAGAAAGAAAGUUUUUGCCUUCCCCUAUCAAACAACAGCUAG